UGUAAGAGAUAGACCCCAGGUUGUGACACGUGGUGGGCCAUGGUGGAAGCCUCUCCCUCUGUCACUGCUGCCAUAGCGUGGUGUCCCAAGGUCCUCUCUGGCAGCUCCCAGCCCCACAGAAAACGAGAUAGACCCUACAGAACAGUUUUGUUGGAUGGUUUAGCAGAGAGGCUGCCAGGUGGAACCCGGCCAAGAGGCAGCAGACCGUGACGGACAGGCCCACACCAUUGAGACAGCAGCAGUGCCCAGGGGAAGGGCCGGGCCGAGGGAAACCCCCUCACAAACACACACAAAAGUACACUCACACGCACACAAAACGCACACAUCCACACUCACAGACACACACACACAAACGCACACAUCCACACUCACACACAGGCCCAGCCCAGCCGGGGUCAGAGUCCAAUUAGGUACUUUAUUACUCAUGGAGGCCUUGUCUGGCUUUCAGGGCUGGAAGAAUGGCGCUGUGCGCACAUGAACCCGGGGCUGCGAACGAUUUGCAUUUGAACCACACAGAUCUAGGGAAAGAAAUGUGGCAAAGGCAUUCUUCCUGGUACCCACCAGUGAAGACCUCAGGAGAUCUGUGAAAGGAACAGAGCCCCUCCAGCCUUGCACAGCGCAGGGCAUGCUCCUCACCUGGGCGUUUCAGCUCGGCUUCCUUCCCCUUCCUGGAAUAGCAUCUCACAUCUGCUGAGGUCCAAGGGAAAACUCCUUCAGAUGUCAAAGGAGGCCCAGCUGGAGCACUCGUGUGUGCCCUGAGCUGAGGUCCUGCCGGGCAGUGCCCCACUGAGUGACCCCGAGACAGCGGCUGCUCCGUGCUCCCGAGACAAGGAGGAAGCUCUGCAGACACAACUCCCAGAAAAGCUGUCACGUCCCUGCUUCUGCAGCCUUGGCUUUGGUCACAGAAGUCAUCAAGGGAAAGAUGUCCGAUUUCACACGUAUUCGUCUGAUGUGGAGCUCCUGGGUGGAAUUCACAGGCCUGUACCAGUAGCUCCUCAGCUCUUUCCACAGAUCAUACCACGACUGAGACGUCCCCUCCCAGGUGUGAAGGACAUCCACAAAGUUGGCAUCAUCGGGGGAGAGGCGCCUGCUGGGGUCCACUCCUUCAAACAUGGGGCCAGCAGGAUCCAAGCCUGGAGUCAGAGAACACAUGGGGCCAGGUAAGAAACUGGGCUGUUUCAUACAGAACACAGCCAGAAGCCUGCUGCUGGCAGGUCUCCUCACCAGCUGAUUCACAGACAGUCCCAGCCUCAUUGCUGGUACUGUCCCUCAAGAUGUCUUCACCACGGGCUCACUGAGGGCAUAAAUAAAAAUGUCCCACUCCACUUUUGGGGCAGCACAACCCAAUAGCAGCACCAUGAUGAGAUUGGCUGCUGGAAGCAAAGAGCCUUCACCAGGGGAUGGUGAAGAGAUGGUUCAAGAGGCAGCUCCAAACACCAGAAGAGGGACAGCUGGCAGCCAAAGCUGCCUCAGUGACAUUUAGUCUGUUUUCAGACUGCAGAUAUGGAGGGACUAACACAAUUUAAGCAGCAGCCAAGAACUACCUGCAUCUGAGAUCCCAUGAAGGGUUUGGGAUGUUCUGUUUACCCCUGAGCCUCACCCCCAACCAGAAGCUGCACUCCAGAGCAUUUCUACAACUUGACUGUUAGGUGAUUUUUUUUUCCCCUGAUUAAUUAAAUACAUUUAUUGCUAGGCUAUGUGGAAUUCUAACUGCCAGUGUCACAUGUAAAUCCUUAAUGCAACUCUUUGUACUAUGCCCUAAGUUCUCACAUGUUGAAAUCAGCUUUCUUCUGGAGCUGCAAGCAAACUCUUCAGAUACUUCCAGAAUGAGGGUUUGGAGUUGAUUUCUUUUUUUUAAUCAGAUAUCCUGUGGGACAAACAGCACCCAAUAGCUCUCGCCUCCAUUAGCUUAUGAGCUAUAAUUACAAAAACACUAUCACUCAGAGGAAUAGCAUUUGGAUAGUAAGAGCUUGAGCUGGACUUGUUUCGGAGCCACAUUUAAAUUCAAACAAACCCAGAACCAGUUUGUCCUGGGUAAGGUUUUUUCACUGAAGCCUUGCUAUAAUUGAUAUGAGGAGACCUGUGCUUUCCACUGCUGCCACAAGCAGAAAAUUUGUCAUUUCUGGAAGAAUAACACCAAAACAACAUUGUAGCAACACAGGAAACGAGCCUGUUCGGGGAAACUCACUGCCAGGAAGGACAGGGGAGAGACUGCUUAAAAAGCCACUUGCCUGU